rnacentral:rRNA from 1 species
UACGAAGGGGGCUAGCGUUGUUCGGGAUUACUGGGCGUAAAGCGCGCGCAGGCGGUUCUUCAAGUCAGAGGUGAGAGCCCCGAGCUCAACUCGGGAACUGCCUUUGAGACUGGGGGACUAGGGUACGGGAGAGGUGAGUGGAAUUCCGAGUGUAGAGGUGAAAUUCGUAGAUAUUCGGAAGAACACCAGUGGCGAAGGCGGCUCACUGGCCCGUUACCGACGCUCAGGCGCGACAGCGUGGGGAGCAAACAGG